rnacentral:rRNA from 1 species
UACGAAGGGGGCUAGCGUUGCUCGGAAUCACUGGGCGUAAAGGGUGCGUAGGCGGGGCUUUAAGUCAGGGGUGAAAUCCUGGAGCUCAACUCCAGAACUGCCUUUGAUACUGAAGAUCUUGAGUUCGGGAGAGGUGAGUGGAACUGCGAGUGUAGAGGUGAAAUUCGUAGAUAUUCGCAAGAACACCAGUGGCGAAGGCGGCUCACUGGCCCGAUACUGACGCUGAGGCACGAAAGCGUGGGUAGCAAACAGG